rnacentral:rRNA from 1 species
UACGUAGGUGGCAAGCGUUUGUCCGGAUUUACUGGGCGUAAAGAGCGCGCAGGCGGCUGAUUAAGUCGAAUGUGAAAGCCCCCGGCUCAACUGGGGAGGGUCAUUCGAUACUGAUCAACUUGAAGGCAGGAGAGAGAAGUGGAAUUCCCGGUGUAGUGGUGGAAUGCGUAGAGAUCGGGAGGAACACCAGUGGCGAAAGCGGCUCUCUGGUCCAAAACUGACGCUGAGGGGCGAAAAGCGUGGGGGAGCGAACGGGG